GAUGAACGCUGGCGGCGUGCCUAAUACAUGCAAGUCGAGCGAACAGACGAGGAGCUUGCUCCUCUGACGUUAGCGGCAGACGGGUGAGUAACACGUGGAUAACCUCCCUAUAAUACUGGUAUAACUUCGGAAAACCGGCGCUAAUACCGGAUAAUAUAUUGAACCGCAUUGUUGAAUAGUAAGAGACGGUUUUGCUGUCACUUAUCGAUGGAUACGCGCCGCAUUAGCUAGUUGGUAAGGUAACGGCUUACCAAGGCAACCAUGCGUAGACGAACUGAGAGGGUGGUCGGCCACACUGGAAGGUAGACACGGUCAAGAGGCCUACGGUAGGGAGCAGUAGGGAAUCGUACGCAACGGGCGAAAGUAUGACGGAGCAACGCCGCGUGAGUGAUGAAGGUCCUCGGAUCGUAAAACUCUGUUAUGAGUGAAGAACAAAUGUGUAAGUAAAUAUGCAGUUCGUGACGGUACUUAAUAAGAAAGCAACGGCUAACUACGUG
rnacentral:rRNA from 1 species